rnacentral:lncRNA from 1 species
GUUAUCAUGGUAUUUUGACUGAAUUUUGAUUCGUCUGGCGAGUGAUGUAUCCAUAGCAGCAGACGCUUACAAUGACGACGUACCCGGUCUCGGUUCUCGUGUGUAUUUGAAAUAUAUUCUUAUUAAUGUAUCCACAAAUAAUUUGGAUGUAAAGCCAAAUUUUAAAAAUGUGUUGGCUAGGGAAAUUCAACGAGAUCACAUUAUAUUUAGGACAGAGAGGACAAUUUUUUCAUGUUUACACUCAUCGUAAUAUAUACUUCCUUUGAUAAAAGAGGGACGAAAGAUACCAAAGGGACAGUAAAACUCAAAAAUCUAAAACAAACUGACAACGCCAUGGCUAAAAAUGAAAAAGACAAACAGACAAACAAUAGCACACAUGACACAACAUAGAAAACUAAAGAAUAAACAACACGAACCCCACCAAAAACUAGGGAUGAUCUCAGGUGCUCCGGAAGGGUAGGCAGAUCCUGCUCCACAUGUGGAACCCGUCGUGUUGCGUUUUGUGAUAACAAAUCCGGUAAAUAGUCUAAUUCGGUAGGUAACAUUCAUGAAAGGGAAGGGGAUUGUAGUUACGACGUAAGGAAC